rnacentral:rRNA from 1 species
CUUCCGUAGGUGAACCUGCGGAAGGAUCAUUACCUAGAGUUGUAGGCUUUGCCUGCUAUCUCUUACCCAUGUCUUUUGAGUACCUUACGUUUCCUCGGUGGGUUCGCCCACCGAUUGGACAAACUUAAACCCUUUGCAGUUGAAAUCAGCGUCUGAAAAAACUUAAUAGUUACAACUUUCAACAACGGAUCUCUUGGUUCUGGCAUCGAUGAAGAACGCAGCGAAAUGCGAUAAGUAGUGUGAAUUGCAGAAUUCAGUGAAUCAUCGAAUCUUUGAACGCACAUUGCGCCCCUUGGUAUUCCAUGGGGCAUGCCUGUUCGAGCGUCAUUUGUACCUUCAAGCUCUGCUUGGUGUUGGGUGUUUGUCUCCUGUAGACUCGCCUUAAAACAAUUGGCAGCCGGCGUAUUGAUUUCGGAGCGCAGUACAUCUCGCGCUUUGCACUCAUAACGACGACAUCCAAAAGUACAUUUUUACACUCUUGACCUCGGAUCAGGUAGGGAUACCCGCUGAACUUAAGCAUA